ensembl:lncRNA
UGGUCGGGGGGAGAGAGGCAUAAUGGUCGGGGAGAGGGGAAUAAUGGUCAGGAAGAGGGGCAUAAUGGUCAGGGAGAGGGGCAUAAUGGUCGGGGAGAGGGACAUAAUGGUCGGGGAGAGGGGUAUAAUGGUCGGGGAGAGAGGCAUAAUGGUCGGGGAGAGGGACAUAAUGGUCGGGGAGAGGGACAUAAUGGUCGGGGAGAGGGGCAUAAUGGUCGGGGAGAGAGGCAUAAUGGUCGGGGAGAGGGGCAUAAUGGUCGGGGAGAGGGGCAUAUUGGUCGGGGAGAGGGGCAUAAUGGUCGGGGAGAGAGGCAUAAUGGUCGGGGAGAGGGACAUAAUGGUCGGGGAGAGGGACAUAAUGGUCGGGGAGAGGUGGUGGGGCAUAAUGGUCGGGGAGAGUUGGUGGGGCAUAAUGGUCAGGGAGAGGGGCAUCAUGGUCGGGGAGAGGGGCAUCAUGGUCGGGGAGAGGGGCAUCAUGGUCGGGGAGAGGGGCAUCAUGGUCGGGGAGAGGGGCAUAAUGGUCGGGGAGUGGGGAAUAAUGGUCAGGGAGAGAGGCAUAAUGGUCAGGGAGAGGGGCAUAAUGGUCAGGGAGAGGGGCAUCAUGGUCUAGGAGAGGGGCAUAAUGGUCGGGGAGAGGGGAAUAAUGGUCGGGGAGAGGGGCAUCAUGGUCUAGGAGAGGGGCAUAAUGGUCGGGGAGAGGGGCAUAAUGGUAGGGAAGAGGGGCAUAAUGGUCAGGGAGAGGGGCAUAAUGGUCGGGGAGAGGGACAUAAUGGUCGGGGAGAGGGACAUAAUGGUAGGGGAGAGGUGGUGGGGCAUAAUGGUCAGGGAGAAGGGCCUCAUGGUCGGGGAGAGGAGCAUAAUGGUCGGGGAGAGGGGCAUAAUGGUCGGGAAGAGGGGCAUAAUGGUCGGGAGAGGGGCAUAAUGGUCGGGGAGAGGGGCAUCAUGGUCGGGGAGAGGGGCAUAAUGGUCGGGGAGAGGGGCAUAAUGGUAGGGGAGAGGGGAAUAAUGGUCAGGGAGAGGGGCAUAAUGGUCGGGGAGAGGGGCAUAAUGGUCAGGGAGAGGGGCAUAAUGGUCAGGGAGAGGGGCAUAAUGGUCGGGGAGAGAGGCAUAAUGGUCAGGAAGAGGGGUAUAAUGGUCGGGGAGAGAGGCAUAAUGGUCGGGGAGAGGGACAUAAUGGUCGGGGAGAGGGACAUAAUGGUCGGGGAGAGGGGCAUAAUGGUCGGGGAGAGAGGCAUAAUGGUCGGGGAGAGGGGCAUAAUGGUCGGGGAGAGGGGCAUAUUGGUCGGGGAGAGGGGCAUAAUGGUCGGGGAGAGAGGCAUAAUGGUCGGGGAGAGGGACAUAAUGGUCGGGGAGAGGGACAUAAUGGUCGGGGAGAGGUGGUGGGGCAUAAUGGUCGGGGAGAGUUGGUGGGGCAUAAUGGUCAGGGAGAGGGGCAUCAUGGUCGGGGAGAGGGGCAUCAUGGUCGGGGAGAGGGGCAUCAUGGUCGGGGAGAGGGGCAUCAUGGUCGGGGAGAGGGGCAUAAUGGUAGGGGAGAGGGGCAUAAUGGUCAGGGAGAGGGGCAUAAUGGUCGGGGAGAGAGGCAUAAUGGUCAGGAAGAGGGGCAUAAUGGUCAGGGAGAGGGGCAUAAUGGUCGGGAGAGGGGCAUAUUGGUCGGGGAGAGGGGCAUAA